rnacentral:lncRNA from 1 species
AUGUCUUCUAAGGGUUGCAUUCUGACUGAAGCUCUUUCCGCACUCCAAGCAUUUAAAUGGUUUCUCCCCUGUGUGAGUCCGUUGAUGUCUUCUAAGGUGUUCAUUAUCAGUAAAGCUCUUUCCGCACUCCAGGCAUUUAAAUGGUUUCUCUCCUGUGUGAGUCCGUUGAUGUCUUCUAAGGGUUCCAUUAUCACUAAAGCUCUUUCCGCACUCUAUACAUUUAUAUGGUUUCUCCCCUGUGUGAGUUCGUUGAUGACUUCUAAGGUGUCCAUUAUCAGUAAAGCUCUUUCCGCACUCUAUACAUUUAUACGGUUUCUCCCCUGUGUGAGUCCGUUGAUGUGUUCUAAGGUGUUCAUUAUCAGUAAAGCUCUUUCCGCACUCCAGGCAUUUAAAUGGUUUCUCUCCUGUGUGAGUCCGUUGAUGUCUUCUAAGGGUUCCAUUAUCACUAAAGCUCUUUCCGCACUCUAUACAUUUAUAUGGUUUCUCCCCUGUGUGAGUCCGUUGAUGACUUCUAAGGUGUCCAUUAUCAGUAAAGCUCUUUCCGCACUCUAUACAUUUAUAUGGUUUCUCCCCUGUGUGAGUCCGUUGAUGUUUUCUAAGGAGUUCAUUAUCAGAAAAGCUCUUUCCGCACUCCAGACAUUUAAAUGGUUUCUGUCCUGUGUUAGUCCGUUGAUGUCUUCUAAGGUGUUCAUUAUCAGUAAAGCUCUUUCCGCACUCCAGGCAUUUAAAUGGUUUCUCUCCUGUGUGAGUCCGUUGAUGUCUUCUAAGGGUUCCAUUAGCACUAAAGCUCUUUCCGCACUCUAUACAUUUAUAUGGUUUCUCCCCUGUGUGAGUCCGUUGAUGACUUCUAAGGUGUCCAUUAUCAGUAAAGCUCUUUCCGCACUCUAUACAUUUAUAUGGUUUCUCCCCUGUGUGAGUCCGUUGAUGUUUUCUAAGGUGUUCAUUAUCAGAAAAGCUCUUUCCGCACUCCAGACAUUUAAAUGGUUUCUCUCCUGUGUGAGUCCGUUGAUGUCUUCUAAGGUUUUCAUUAUCAGAAAAGCUCUUUCCGCACUCCAGGCAUUUAAAUGGUUUCUCUCCUGUGUGAGUCUGUUGAUGUCUUCUUAG